rnacentral:rRNA from 1 species
UAACCUACCUCUGUAUUGGGGAUACCCCGCGAAAGCGGGGCUAAUACCGGAUGAGACCCUGGGAUGGUGGUCUUGGGGUGAAUGCGGGCCUCUCGAAGAAGCUCGCGUACGGGGAUGGGCCUGCGUCCUAUCAGCUAAUUGGUGGGUGUAAUGGCCUACCAAUGCGACGACGGGUAGCUUGGUCUGAGAGGAUGAUCAGCCAC